rnacentral:rRNA from 1 species
AGCCAUGCGAGUCGAGAGGUGUAAGACCUCGGCAUACUGCUCAGUAACACGUGGUUAACCUGCCCUAAGGUGGAGAAUACUCCCGGGAAACUGGGGUUAAUGCUCCAUAGUGGAUAUGUCCUGGAAUGGUAUAUCCUCGAAAGAUCCGUCGCCUUAGGAUGGGACUGCGUCCGAUUAGGUUGUUGGCGGGGUAACGGCCCACCAAGCCAUUGAUCGGUACGGGUUGUGGGAGCAAGAUCCCGGAGAUGGAUUCUGAGACAUGAAUCCAGGCCCUACGGGGCGCAGCAGGCGCGCAAACUUUACAAUGCGAGCAAUCGUGAUAAGGAAACCCUGAGUGCCUGUCGAUGCAGGCUGUUCAUAUAUCUAAAUCAUAUGUGAAGAAAGGGCAGGGCAAGACCGGUGCCAGCCGCCGCGGUAAUACCGGCUGCUCGAGUGAUGGCCACUAUUACUGGGUUUAAAGCGUCCGUAGCUUGACUGUUAGGUCCCUUGGGAAAUCUUCGCGCUUAACGUGAAGGCGUCUAAGAGAUACCGGCAGUCUUGGAACUGGGAGAGGUAAACCGUACUUCGGGGGUAGGAGUGAAAUCUUGUAAUCCUCGAGGGACGACCUAUGGCGAAGGCAGUUUACCAGAACAGCUUCGACAGUGAGGGACGAAAGCUGGGGGAGCAAACGGGAUUAGAUACCCCGGUAGUCCCAGCCGUAAACAAUGUGCGUUAGGUGUGUCGGUAACCACGCGUUACUGAUGCGCCGAAGAGAAAUCGUGAAACGCACCACCUGGGAAGUAC